UGUGAGGGUUGCUGGAGGUAUCAGAAGUGCGAAUGCUGACAUAAGUAACGAUAAAGCGGGUGAAAAGCCCGCUCGCCGGAAGACCAAGGGUUCCUGUCCAACGUUAAUCGGGGCAGGGUGAGUCGACCCCUAAGGCGAGGCCGAAAGGCGUAGUCGAUGGGAAACGGGUUAAUAUUCCCGUACUUGGUGUUACUGCGAAGGGGGGACGGAGAAGGCUAUGUUGGCCGGGCGACGGUUGUCCCGGUUUAAGCGUGUAGGUGUGUGUUCCAGGUAAAUCCGGUUCACUUUAACACUGAGGCGUGAUGACGAGGCACUACGGUGCUGAAGCAACAAAUGCCCUGCUUCCAGGAAAAGCCUCUAAGCAUCAGGUAACAUCAAAUCGUACCCCAAACCGACACAGGUGGUCAGGUAGAGAAUACCAAGGCGCUUGAGAGAACUCGGGUGAAGGAACUAGGCAAAAUGGUGCCGUAACUUCGGGAGAAGGCACGCUGACAUGUAGGUGAAGUGAUUUACUCAUGGAGCUGAAGUCAGUCGAAGAUACCAGCUGGCUGCAACUGUUUAUUAAAAACACAGCACUGUGCAAACACGAAAGUGGACGUAUACGGUGUGACGCCUGCCCGGUGCCGGAAGGUUAAUUGAUGGGGUCAGCGCAAGCGAAGCUCCUGAUCGAAGCCCCGGUAAACGGCGGCCGUAACUAUAACGGUCCUAAGGUAGCGAAAUUCCUUGUCGGGUAAGUUCCGACCUGCACGAAUGGCGUAAUGAUGGCCAGGCUGUCUCCACCCGAGACUCAGUGAAAUUGAACUCGCUGUGAAGAUGCAGUGUACCCGCGGCAAGACGGAAAGACCCCGUGAACCUUUACUAUAGCUUGACACUGAACAUUGAGCCUUGAUGUGUAGGAUAGGUGGGAGGCUUUGAAGCGUGGACGCCAGUCUGCGUGGAGCCGACCUUGAAAUACCACCCUUUAAUGUUUGAUGUUCUAACGUGGACCCGUAAUCCGGGUUGCGGACAGUGUCUGGUGGGUAGUUUGACUGGGGCGGUCUCCUCCUAAAGAGUAACGGAGGAGCACGAAGGUUGGCUAAUCCUGGUCGGACAUCAGGAGGUUAGUGCAAUGGCAUAAGCCAGCUUGACUGCGAGCGUGACGGCGCGAGCAGGUGCGAAAGCAGGUCAUAGUGAUCCGGUGGUUCUGAAUGGAAGGGCCAUCGCUCAACGGAUAAAAGGUACUCCGGGGAUAACAGGCUGAUACCGCCCAAGAGUUCAUAUCGACGGCGGUGUUUGGCACCUCGAUGUCGGCUCAUCACAUCCUGGGGCUGAAGUAGGUCCCAAGGGUAUGGCUGUUCGCCAUUUAAAGUGGUACGCGAGCUGGGUUUAGAACGUCGUGAGACAGUUCGGUCCCUAUCUGCCGUGGGCGCUGGAGAACUGAGGGGGGCUGCUCCUAGUACGAGAGGACCGGAGUGGACGCAUCACUGGUGUUCGGGUUGUCAUGCCAAUGGCACUGCCCGGUAGCUAAAUGCGGAAGAGAUAAGUGCUGAAAGCAUCUAAGCACGAAACUUGCCCCGA
rnacentral:rRNA from 1 species